GCAAAUAUAGUUUAAUCAAAAACAUUAGAUUGUGAAUCUAAAUUUAAGAGUGUAAACCUCUUUAUAUGCC
rnacentral:tRNA from 1 species